rnacentral:lncRNA from 1 species
UAAUCAUUUCAGGAUUUCCAUGGACAACACUUGCUAUGGACACUUGACAUUGCUAAAAUCUCUACUAAAAAAAGGGUCUCAACUUAAAGAAAAGUUGAGGGUAUAAACUGAUUCUGUCCACAGAAGCUGUUUUCAUUUUCCCUCCUUCAUUAUUUUCUUUUCCUCUGACCUUCUCUGUGGCUGGAGUGGGCAGGAGUUGGUUUUGGAAUCUCUAACCUGUGUGCCAACAUUGUGUCGCUGACUGUCAUCUCUUGUUCUUUGGCAUGUACGCUGAUGGCUUUAAACUAAUGAUCCUUGGACAAGUCUUGAUAAGAAAGUUGCCUAAUUUAUCCUGUAAUAGGCAGUGUACUUUUGAGAUCUAUUUUGCAGGCAAGUUUUCUGUUGGAAAGGGCUGAAAAUAAAGUUAUUGUUAAAAUGUGUA